rnacentral:pre_miRNA from 1 species
ACAACAAUAUUCGGACCGUCAGUCUACCGAGUAAUAUUACCAGUUCGGUGGAAGAUUUUUCCUUUCGUCGUUAAUC